GAGGGUGUGUGAGAGAGUGUGUGAGAGAGUGUGUGAGAGGGUGUGUGAGAGGGUGUGUGAGAGAGUGUGUGAGAGGGUGUGUGAGAGGGUGUGUGAGAGAGUGUGUGAGAGGGUGUGUGAGAGGGUGUGUGAGAGAGUGUGUGAGAGGGUGUGUGAGAGGGUGUGUGAGAGAGUGUGUGAGAGGGUGUGUGAGACGGUCAGUGAGAAGGGCGAGAAAGCCUGAAGGGAGUCUCCACGGCUGGGCUGAGAUGUUUGGUUAAUCCUGUCGUUGUUUUGAAAAAAACCCCACAAUAUACAGUUUUUAACAAUACGCACACGCGUCUAGAGACGGAACCAACCAUUUCGGGGCUAAAUCCGUG
ensembl:lncRNA